rnacentral:lncRNA from 1 species
AAUUAAGUACUUCAAAUUCACUCCAUGUUGUUUAUUAUUUACUUACUUUCAUAUUCUGUGAUUUUAACUGUAUCACUUAAGUAUCCAAUAGUUUUUAUUUUCGUUUUUCAUUAAACCUUUUAUUAGAAUAAUCACGUGCCAUAUACGGGCAUCAUUAAGCCCGUAUAAAAUGUGAUGAAAAACUAAAUUUAACACAAUGUGAUGAAAAACUAAAAUAGAAAUCACAGAACACUUAAAUAAUACAUUUAAAAUCACAGUAUAUCAAAAUAAAAAAAGUUAAAUUAUAAAAAACCUUCUUAUAAAUAUCUGUGUUUUUACUUUUUCUUCCUAAUUUUCAAAAAUUUAUAUUUUAUCCUCUCAAUAUUUCAAAUUGUUACAUUUAGCACCCCUCCAUCAAGGUUCCAUCAUUAUUCCGUUUAUUUCUUAUAAUUUAUAUCGAAAAUGCCCUUCACGAUGGCAGAAAUAUAUUAAAAAAAAAAAUUUUUACAGAAGAAGUAAGGGUAAUUUUGUCAUUCUACCAUGUCCAUUAAUGCCGUGUCCCUUUGAAAAUAUUUUUAAAAUUUUAAGGAGGCAAAAUGAAGGUUUUUUAAAGUCAGCAAGAAAGAGUGAAAAAAUAGUUAUUUAUAGGAAUGUUUUAUAUGAUUUGGCCUAAAAAAAAAUGAUAAACUAUAUUGGAAGAUAUCUG